rnacentral:lncRNA from 1 species
CUCCCGCCCACCGGUGCCCAACCUGCUAACACGCCUGCGCGAGCGGGCGUGCCCCGGAAGCCGUUCUUUGGCCCUGUGACACGUAGCAACGGGGCUGGUUCAGGGUCUGAAACAGAGUUUGGGGGUUGUUUGGGAUUAGUGAAGCUACUGCCUUUGCCGCCAGCGCAGCCUCAGAGUUUGAUUAUUUGCAAUGUCAGGCUUUGAAAACUUAAACACGGAUUUCUACCAGACAAGUUACAGCAUCGAUGAUCAGUCACAGCAGUCCUAUGAUUAUGGAGGAAGUGGAGGACCCUAUAGCAAUAUGCUGGCUAUGACUAUUCGCAGCAAGGCAGAUUUGUCCCUCCAGACAUGAUGCAGCCACAACAGCCAUACACCGGGCAGAUUUACCAGCCAACUCAGGCAUAUACUCCAGCUUCACCUCAGCCUUUCUAUGGAAACAACUUUGAGGAUGAGCCACCUUUAUUAGAAGAGUUAGGUAUCAAUUUUGACCACAUCUGGCAAAAAACACUAACAGUAUUACAUCCGUUAAAAGUAGCAGAUGGCAGCAUCAUGAAUGAAACUGAUUUGGCAGGUCCAAUGGUUUUUUGCCUUGCUUUUGGAGCCACAUUGCUACUGGCUGGCAAAAUCCAGUUUGGCUAUGUAUACGGGAUCAG